rnacentral:rRNA from 1 species
AAAUAGAUACCCGGGUAGUCCACGCUGUAAACGUUGGGCGCUAGGUGUGGGGGUCUUCCACGAUCUCCGUGCCGGAGCUAACGCAUUAAGCGCCCCGCCUGGGGAGUACGGCCGCAAGGCUAAAACUCAAAGGAAUUGACGGGGGCCCGCACAAGCGGCGGAGCAUGUUGCUUAAUUCGACGCAACGCGAAGAACCUUACCAAGGUUUGACAUCACCCGGACAGCUGCAGAGAUGUGGCCUUCUUCGGACUGGGUGACAGGUGGUGCAUGGCUGUCGUCAGCUCGUGUCGUGAGGUGUUGGGUUAAGUCCCGCAACGAGCGCAACCCUUGCUCCAUGUUGCCAGCAACACCUUCGGGUGGUUGGGGACUCAUGGGGGACUGCCGGGGUCAACUCGGAGGAAGGUGGGGAUGACGUCAAGUCAUCAUGCCCUUAUGUCUUGGGCUGCAAACAUGCUACAAUGGCCGGUACAGAGGGCUGCUAAACCGCGAGGUGGAGCGAAUCCCUAAAAGCCGGUCUCAGUUCGGAUUGGGGUCUGCAACUCCG